rnacentral:rRNA from 1 species
UGACGCAGGAAGGUAGUCCAGCCCGGGCGAUGGUUGUCCUGGGGUAAGCAUGUAGGGCGGAACGUAGGUAAAUCCGCGUUCUAUUCAGCCUGAGAUGUGAUGCCGAGCCGAUUGUGGUGAAGUGGAUGAUCCUAUGCUGCCGAGAAAAGCCUCUAGUGAGUGUUGUGGCGGCCCGUACCCUAAACCGACUCAGGUGGUCAGGUAGAGAAUACCAAGGCGAUCGGGUGAACUGUGGUUAAGGAACUCGGCAAAUUGCCCCCGUAACUUCGGGAGAAGGGGGACCUCUGCUGGUGAUGGGCUUUACGUUCUGAGCUGGUGGGGGUCGCAGUGGCCAGGGGGAAGCGACUGUUUACUAAAAACACAGGUCCGUGCGAAGUCGUAAGACGAUGUAUACGGACUGACGCCUGCCCGGUGCCGGAACGUUAAGGGGACCGCUUAGCCAACGCGAGUUGGCGAAGGUGAGAACUUAAGCGCCGGUAAACGGCGGUGGUAACUAUAACCAUCCUAAGGUAGCGAAAUUCCCUGUCGGGUAAGUUCCGACCUGCACGAAUGGCGUAACGACUUCCCCGCUGUCUCAACCACAGACCCGGCGAAAUUGCACUACGAGUAAAGAUGCUCGUUUCGCGCAGCAGGACGGAAAGACCCCGGGACCUUCACUACGGCCUGACAUUGGCGUUUGGAACGUCUUGUGUAGGAUAGGUGGGAGACUGGGAAGCUGUCACGCUAGUGAUGGUGGAGUCAUUGGUGAAAUACCACUCUGGUCGUUUUGAACGUCUAACUCUGGUCCGUGAUCCGGAUCGGGGACAGUGUCUGGUGGGUAGUUUAACUGGGGCGGUUGCCUCCUAAAGAGUAACGGAGGCGCCCAAAGGUUCCCUCAGCCUGGUCGGCAAUCAGGUGUUGAGUGUAAGUGCACAAGGGUGCUUGACUGUGAGACUGACAGGUCGAGCAGGAGCGAAAGCUGGGACUAGUGAUCCGGCAUCGGCGUGUGGAAGCGGUGUCGCUCAACGGCUAAAAGGUACCCCGGGGAUAACAGGCUGAUCUCCCCCAAGAGUCCAUAUCGACGGGAUGGUUUGGCACCUCGAUGUCGGCUCGUCGCAUCCUGGGGCUGGAGUAGGUCCCAAGGGUUGGGCUGUUCGCCCAUUAAAGCGGUACGCGAGCUGGGUUUAGAACGUCGCGAGACAGUUCGGUCCCUAUCCGCUGCGCGCGCAGGAGACUUGAAGGGGGCUGUCCCUAGUACGAGAGGACCGGGACGGACGAACCUCUGGUGUGCCAGUUGUACCGCCAGGUGCACGGCUGGUUGGCUACGUUCGGAAGGGAUAACCGCUGAAAGCAUCUAAGCGGGAAGCUCGCCUUGAGAUGAGGUCUCCCACCCCGUGAGGGGGUAAGGCUCCCGGUAGAUCACCGGGUUGAUAGGCCGGAGGUGGAAGCACGGUAACGUGUGGAGCUGACCGGUACUAAUAGGCCGAGGACUUGACCAC